GGAUGAUUGAAGCUGGCCAGGGUUCGAACCUGGAAGGUUCGAGCGCGAAGCGAAGCGGAGCCAACGUCCGCGCGCAGCGCGGCGGCCCGAAGGGCGAGGCCGAAGGCCGAGUCAUCCUGGUCCCCCAGCCA
rnacentral:sRNA from 1 species